GCUCCUCAGGACUGGUCCGAUCAUGCCGUCUGGUGGGAGAAGAGGAGCUGCUGGCUGCUGAAGACACACUGGACUCUGGAUAAGUAUGGAGUCCAGGCGGACGCUGACCUGCGCUACACUCCACAACACAAACCUCUCUGCAUCCAGCUGCCCAACAUGAAGACCAUCCGGCUCCCUGUUAGCUUCUCUUGUGUGGUCUUCAAAGCCGUGGCGGAGAUCUGCAAAGCACUCAACAUUAGACGAUCAGAAGAACUUUCUCUUCUGAAACUACCAGAUGAUCAAAAAAA